CCAGGUACUAUGUAUAUAUGCUGCCAGGCACACAGAGACACUGAACUCUCAGCUUGAGGCAGAACUCAGCACAUUUGUGCAGGGGAAUCCAUACCUCAUGCCGCUCUCCAGUCUGCUCUGGGUGUUCCUGGCCAUCGCCUUCUCUGCAUCUGGUGUGGCCCAGAAAGUUACUCAAGACCAGCCAGAUAUAUCCAGCCAAGUGGGGCAGUCAGUCACCCUGAAUUGUCGGUAUGAAACAAGCUGGAGCUAUUACACCCUUUUUUGGUACAAGCAACUUCCCAGUGGACAGAUGACUUACCUUAUUCAACAGUAUUCAGAACACGGUAAUGCAAGGAACGGCCGCUUUUCUGUAAACUUCCAGAAAGCAGAUAAAUCCAUCAGCCUCAUCAUUUCAUCCUUACAGCUGGAAGAUUCUGCAAAGUACUUCUGUGCUCUCUGUUAACUCACAGUGCUUGAAGUAAUAGGAAAAGCUGUACAAAAACCCAGAGCUUGAUAAGAGAGAGCCCCCCUGCUGCAGGACCCCAGCUGAAAUGCACACCCACAGACCCCAGACAAGAAAUGAUAGCCCUGUGGUUGUUUAAGUUGUGGUCUGGAUCAGAAGAUUUAAUUCUAGAUAAAGUCUCCUUCUAUGUCAUUGGAAACAGGUGUCCAGAGUAACUUUCUACUAAUACAUUCUCAUCUUGAAUUUUUUACUUUAAGUCAGUCAUACAGAACAUGUGUAAAGUUGUCUAGAUUUGAAAACUUGUCCCAUAAUGCUUUAAACUGGCAGUUUUACUUCAUCACAAACCUGGGUCUAGCUGUGUGGAGUCCCCAUCAAAACCAUGUCCUUAGUCAUUUCCUCUUAGACUUUGUGUCAGGGCACAAUCAGAAAAGCAGAACCAUGGGUGAUGUAGAAUAAGAGAUAAGUUAUAAGGACUAGAUCUCAGGCAAUGGCUAGAGCUGGUGGACAAGUCUGUACAAAGCUGUUGUUUUUAUAUCUGAUGUUGAGCCUGAAUUCACUUUAAGUGAGCUUAGAGUAACAUUUGAAAAGGAAAGUUUGGUGAGGACAAAAGCUGGACAAACUGUGACACAUAAAGUCAUACUUAAACUAUGAGGACACUUGGAACCCACAAAGACUUGUCUGUCUCACCUCCUUCAGUCUCAAUAACAAUACUGGGUGACCUUGAAGAGAAGUGGGUGUCAUUUGCCAUCAUGCUACACCCAUACUUGGCCCAAGACAAAGAAGAUGAGGAGGACUUCUAAUGGGAAGUAGAAGAGUUGUGAGUCAACAAUAAGAUGAGCUAGUUCAUCAGCAGCAAUGUGUAGAAAAAGCAUUUGCCAAAAUCCAAUAGUCUACCAUGGUGAAAACUCUAAGAAAUACAGGAGUACUGGAGAAUUUCCUCAAUAGCUCUUAGCAUGUUUACUGGUAAAAGACUCUAUAUUUUUCCCUAAGGAAGGGAACAAAGGGAGAAUAUCCACUUUAAUCACUCUCCUUCAGCACAGCGCUGGACGUUGUAGCCAGUUGCAGUAAAGCAAGUAAAUAUAUAAACAACCUUUUAAGCCAGAAAGGCAGUCAAAUUACCACUAUUUUCUAUCUAUGUAGAAAAAUCCCAAAGAAUAUACCCUCCAAAACUCCUACAACUAGUAAGUGGGUUCAGAAGGUCUCAGGAUAUACAAGGUAAACAAAAUCAAAUGCAUUUCUAUAUACUAGCAAUAAACAUGUGGAUAUCUAAAUUAAUAAUAUAAUACUGUUUACAAUGGCUCAAGAAAGACCCUAAAUUCUUAGGCAUAAAUCUCAGAAAACAUGUACAGAACUUAUACACAGAAAGCUACAAAGCACUGGUACUUCCAAAAAAUACAAAUAGCCAAUUAUUCUAGCUAUUAUCCUAGAAAGACCAACUUUCCCCCCUUGGAGCUACAUAGGCAUCUUUAAAAGUGAAAUUGAAAGUCACUCAGUCAUGUCCAACUCAUUGCAACUCCAUGGACUAUACAGUCCAUGGAAUUCUCCAGGCCAGAAUAUUGGAGUGGGCAG